UGAGGGAAUAUUUGGGGUCAAUGGGCGCGAGCCUGAACCAGCCAAGUAGCGUGAGGGAUGACUGCCCUAUGGGUUGUAAACCUCUUUUGAUUGGGAACAAAGAGCGCCACGUGUGGUGCGUUGCGUGUACCUUUCGAAUAAGCAUCGGCUAAUUCCGUGCCAGCAGCCGCGGUAAUACGGAAGAUGCGAGCGUUAUCCGGAUUUAUUGGGUUUAAAGGGAGCGUAGGCGGGCUGUUAAGUCAGCGGUCAAAAUGUCAGGGCCCAACCUUGGCAUGCCGUUGAUACUGGCGGCCUUGAGUUCACACAAGGAAGGUGGAAUUCGUCGUGUAGCGGUGAAAUGCUUAGAUAUGACGAA
rnacentral:rRNA from 1 species